CCGAUGAUGCAAAGUAUGAUACAACGUCGGUACUUUUAAAUGCCUUAAUGUUUAAUUUUUAUAGCGACAAAAAGAUUUGGGUAACCGCUACUGAUGUACGUGAAUUUCUAAGAGGAUCGUGGGCUAAUGUUUCACCGAUUCAUGUUUAUAUCAUGUAUUUAGUAGACAACUUCAUCGACCUUUUCAACAAGACUGAGAUCACAUUCUUUUGUCCUCAACUCAUUUCUGAAUCUUCAAUUGAGAAUGAUUACCUUGAAACUUAUACAUAUGUGAAGAAUACAUUUUUGCAUGAAGUAAGAAAGACGGGUAAAUGUUUCAAAUUCAUCGUGGCUCCAUAUGUUGCAAGGUUCGAAAUAUGUUUUUUAUACUGCCACUAAACUUAAUCAUAUAAAUGAUAUGUUUUUCACCAAUUUUCCAAUAUUCUAACUUGUGUUUUCCUCUUAAAUGAUGUAAUGGUCAUCGGGUUCUUGUGGUGGUCGAUCUACAAUUAGGUUUAGCUUAUGAGUUUGAAUCUAUGAAGCUACCUAAAGAAAAACCACGACAAUUGAAAAUUGCCGAAAUUAUGAUGACGUGAGCCACAACCUUGAAAUUAUGCCCUAGUUUCUAUAUCAUUUUUGUAUGUGGUGUUGUAGAUUAUUUUGUUCUAAGUGUUAGAAUAUAUAUUAUAUUUUUGUUGGGCUUAUAAAGUAUAUCGGGCGAAUCUCACAGGGAGUGAAUUGAAAUCACAUAGGCAAAAAUUGAAAUUCAUACAAAUGGAGUGUUCACAACAACAAGGAGGAGUUGAAUGUGGCUACUACAUUAUGAGAUACAUGUAUGAGAUUGUUAGUUCUCACAUGGAGUGCAAAGGUGUCUUAGAGAAGGAUUUUUGUCCAAGGACAGCCAUGUAUGAUGUUGACGAGUUGAAUGUGGUUUGAGAACAGUGGGCGCAAUACUUUAGAAUUUAAUCUUUAUUGAAUGCAUAACUCUUAGCUUAGGUAGAACAAAGUAAUAUUUUUAGUGUUGUUGUAUAUGUUGGAUAAAUUUAUACAAGUUUUUAUUUGUAAUGUGUUACUACUUCAGUUUUU